GACGAACCGUCCAAACGUUAUUCGGAAUCACUGGGCUUAAAGGGUGCGUAGGCGGCUCAGAAAGUAGGGUGUGAAAGCCCUCGGCUCAACCGAGGAAUUGCGCCCUAAACUACUGGGCUUGAGGAACGCAGAGGUAAGCGGAACUUAGGGUGGAGCGGUGAAAUGCGUUGAUAUCCUAAGGAACACCAGGAGCGAAAGCGGCUUACUGGGCGUUUUCUGACGCUGAGGCACGAAAGCUAGGGGAG
rnacentral:rRNA from 1 species